CAAUAGCGUAUAUUAAAGUUGUUGCAGUUAAAAAGCUCGUAGUUGGAUUUGUGGUGUACUUCGGCGGCCCGUCACUAUGUGAUGGAGCUUGCUGAAGUCGCCAUCCUUGGGUGGAUCCUGUGUGGCAUUAAGUUGUCGUGCAGGGGAUGCCCAUCGUUUACUGUGAAAAAAUUAGAGUGUUCAAAGCAGGCUUAUGCCGUUGAAUAUAUUAGCAUGGAAUAAUAAGAUAGGACCUUGGUACUAUUUUGUUGGUUUGCGCACCGAGGUAAUGAUUAACAGGGACAGUUGGGGGUAUUCGUAUUCCAUUGUCAGAGGUGAAAUUCUUGGAUUUCUGGAAGACGAACUACUGCGAAAGCAUUUACCAAGGAUGUUUUCAUUAA
rnacentral:rRNA from 1 species